CCUGCGAGGUAUAAACCCGGAUAUAACACCAGCACAAAGCCUACGGGACUUUAAACCCGGAUACAAUCUCAGCACAAUUUAUUUUAUAUACUUUUUUACUAACCUUGGCCUCAUCAAAUAUCUAAUAAUACCCACAUUUGAUAAUUGGUCAUUCGGCCACAUUAUAUACACAUAAACAUAUGUACAUUUCACACUUGCC
rnacentral:lncRNA from 1 species